GCGCCUGCAGGGAUCGGAAGCCGGUUGGGGUGUGAGAGGUUUUCUCGCUCUAGGAAUAGCGGGUUUUGCAGCAAUUGUUGCAUAUGGAUUAUAUAAACUGAAGAGCAGGGGAAAUACUAAAAUGUCCAUUCAUCUGAUCCACAUGCGUGUGGCAGCCCAAGGCUUUGUUGUAGGAGCAAUGACUGUUGGUAUGGGCUAUUCCAUGUAUCGGGAAUUCUGGGCAAAACCUAAGCCUUAGAAGAAGAGAUGCUGUCUUGGUCUUGUUGGAGGAGCUUGCUUUAGUUAGAUGUCUUAUUAUUAAAGUUACCUAUUAUUGUUGGAAAUAAACUAAUUUGUAUGGGUUUAGAUGGUAACAUGGCAUUUUGAAUAUUGGCUUCCUUUCUUGCAGGCUUGAUUUGCUUGGUGACCGAAUUACUAGUGACUAGUUUACUAACUAGGUCAUUCAAGGAAGUCAAGUUAACUUAAACAUGUCACCUAAAUGCACUUGAUGGUGUUGAAAUGUCCACCUUCUUAAAUUUUUAAGAUGAACUUAGUUCUAAAGAAGAUAACAGGCCAAUCCUGAAGGUACUCCCUGUUUGCUGCAGAAUGUCAGAUAUUUUGGAUGUUGCAUAAGAGUCCUAUUUGCCCCAGUUAAUUCAACUUUUGUCUGCCUGUUUUGUGGACUGGCUGGCUCUGUUAGAACUCUGUCCAAAAAGUGCAUGGAAUAUAACUUGUAAAGCUUCCCACAAUUGACAAUAUAUAUGCAUGUGUUUAAACCAAAUCCAGAAAGCUUAAACAAUAGAGCUGCAUAAUAGUAUUUAUUAAAGAAUCACAACUGUAAACAUGAGAAUAAUUUAAGGAUUCUAGUUUAGUUUUUUGUAAUUGCAAAUUAUAUUUUUGCUGCUGAUAUAUUAGAAUAAUUUUUAAAUGUCAUCUUGAAAUAGAAAUAUGUAUUUUAAGCACUCACGCAAAGGUAAAUGAACACGUUUUAAAUGUGUGUGUUG
rnacentral:lncRNA from 1 species